rnacentral:rRNA from 1 species
AUUGAACGCUGGCGGCAGGCCUAACACAUGCAAGUCGAGCGGAUGAAGGGAGCUUGCUCCUGGAUUCAGCGGCGGACGGGUGAGUAAUGCCUAGGAAUCUGCCUGGUUGUGGGGGAUAACGUCCUGAAACGGGCGCUAAUACCGCAUACGUCCUGAGGGAGAAAGUGGGGGAUCUUCGGACCUCACGCUCUCUGAUGAGCCUAGGUCGGAUUAGCUAGUUGGUGUGGUAAAGGCCUACCAAGGCGACGAUCCGUAACUGGUCUGAGAGGAUGAUCAGUCACACUGGAACUGAGACACGGUCCAGACUCCUACGGGAGGCAGCAGUGGGGAAUAUUGGACAAUGGGCGAAAGCAUGAUCCAGCCAUGCCGCGUGUGUGAAGAAGGUCUUCGGAUUGUAAAGCACUUUAAGUUGGGAGGAAGGGAAGUAAGUUAAUACCUUGCUGUAUUGACGUUACCAACAGAAUAAGCACCGGCUAACUUCGUG